rnacentral:rRNA from 1 species
UACGUAGGGGGCAAGCGUUGUCCGGAUUUAUUGGGCGUAAAGCGCGUGUAGGCGGCCAUGUAGGUCUGACGUGAAAUCCCGAGGCUCAACCUCGGCAGGUCGUUGGAAACCAUAUGGCUAGAGUCCGGAAGAGGAGAGUGGAAUUCCCGGUGUAGCGGUGAAAUGCGCAGAUAUCGGGAAGAACACCCGUGGCGAAGGCGGCUCUCUGGGACGGUACUGACGCUGAGACG